rnacentral:rRNA from 1 species
GAUGAACGCUGGCGGCGUGCCUAAUACAUGCAAGUCGAGCGAACAGACGAGGAGCUUGCUCCUCUGACGUUAGCGGCGGACGGGUGAGUAACACGUGGAUAACCUACCUAUAAGACUGGGAUAACUUCGGGAAACCGGAGCUAAUACCGGAUAAUAUAUUGAACCGCAUGGUUCAAUAGUGAAAGACGGUUUUGCUGUCACUUAUAGAUGGAUCCGCGCCGCAUUAGCUAGUUGGUAAGGUAACGGCUUACCAAGGCGACGAUGCGUAGCCGACCUGAGAGGGUGAUCGGCCACACUGGAACUGAGACACGGUCCAGACUCCUACGGGAGGCAGCAGUAGGGAAUCUUCCGCAAUGGGCGAAAGCCUGACGGAGCAACGCCGCGUGAGUGAUGAAGGUCUUCGGAUCGUAAAACUCUGUUAUUAGGGAAGGACAAAUGUGUAAGUAACUAUGCACGUCUUGACGGUACCUAAGCAGAAAACCACGGCUAACUACGU